rnacentral:rRNA from 1 species
AUCAGGAGCUUGCUCCUGUGAUUAGUGGCGAACGGGUGAGUAACACGUGAGUAACCUGCCCCUGACUCUGGGAUAAGCGUUGGAAACGACGUCUAAUACUGGAUAUGAUCACUGGCCGCAUGGUCUGGUGGUGGAAAGAUUUUUUGGUUGGGGAUGGACUCGCGGCCUAUCAGCUUGUUGGUGAGGUAAUGGCUCACCAAGGCGACGACGGGUAGCCGGCCUGAGAGGGUGACCGGCCACACUGGGACUGAGACACGGCCCAGACUCCUACGGGAGGCAGCAGUGGGGAAUAUUGCACAAUGGGCGAAAGCCUGAUGCAGCAACGCCGCGUGAGGGAUGACGGCCUUCGGGUUGUAAACCUCUUUUAGUAGGGAAGAAGCGAGAGUGACGGUACCUGCAGAAAAAGCACCGGCUAACUACGUGCCAGCAGCCGCGGUAAUACGUAGGGUGCAAGCGUUGUCCGGAAUUAUUGGGCGUAAAGAGCUCGUAGGCGGUUUGUCGCGUCUGCUGUGAAAUCCCGAGGCUCAACCUCGGGCUUGCAGUGGGUACGGGCAGACUAGAGUGCGGUAGGGGAGAUUGGAAUUCCUGGUGUAGCGGUGGAAUGCGCAGAUAUCAGGAGGAACACCGAUGGCGAAGGCAGAUCUCUGGGCCGUAACUGACGCUGAGGAGCGAAAGCGUGGGGAGCGAACAGGAUUAGAUACCCUGGUAGUCCACGCCGUAAACGUUGGGCGCUAGAUGUAGGGACGUUUCCACGGUUUCUGUGUCGUAGCUAACGCAUUAAGCGCCCCGCCUGGGGAGUACGGCCGCAAGGCUCAAACUCAAAGGAAUUGACGGGGGCCC